GGGCAUAAGGUUAUCUAUAGCUGCAACAUCUGUCACCCCAUUGAUUGCCAGGGUUGAUUCGGCUGAUCUGGCUGGCUAGGUGGGUGUCCCUUUCCUCUUUCCCUCCAUGUGUGUCCUUCUCAAAGCUUCACACUCAGUUGAAGAGGAGGACCUUUGCCAAAUAGAGACAGACAGACCAUCAGUCCAGGGUUUAUGAGGAGCUGCGCUCCCCUGCUAGAACCUCCAAACAAGCCCUGAAGGAAGUGGGAAAACUGACAUGUGAACUUAGAAUUCGCUGAUGUU
rnacentral:snRNA from 1 species